UGUUAUCAAUAGACUGUAGAUUAGACCAGUCACACUUUCUCUACAAAUCAGUCCGGGCUUCAAUAGAGCGGUCAAGUUCCCAGUGAUAAUUUAUCAUAAGUACAACCAAAAAUGUUUAAAAUUGGAUUAUUUUUUUUAAUUGGAUUAUUAUUUAUUUUUGAAUAUUCAUCUGCUAUCAUACCACCGUGUGCACGUGGCGGUCAAGCGUGCGAUCUUGAAAUAUGUUGUGCUGGUCUGCGUUGCGACGAAAUAAUAAAUAUAUGCACCAUCAAUUUAACUUCUCAUUGGAAAUAAUUAUUUAUAAAACUUCUAAGUGAUGAUAAUGAUGUUCAACAGAGAAAAUGUUAAUUACAGUUUUUUAGUUUAAAAAACCAUCGCUAUCAAUAAAAAAUAUCAA